UACGUAGGGGCGAGCGUUGUCCGGAAUGAUUGGGCGUAAAGGGCGCGUAGGUGGUUUGUCACGUCGUCUGUGAAAUUCCGGGGCUUAACCUCGGGCGUGCAGGCGAUACGGGCAAUACUUGAGUGCUGUAGGGGAGACUGGAAUUCCUGGUGUAGCGGUGAAAUGCGCAGAUAUCAGGAGGAACACCAAUGGCGAAGGCAGGUCUCUGGGCAGUUACUGACGCUGAGGAGCGAAAGCAUGGGUAGCGAACAGGAUUAGAUA
rnacentral:rRNA from 1 species